AAAGUAUUGUUGUACCUGGAUGUUAUCUCAGUGUUGGCAUGCAUAAGUUGGGUAAGACAUAUCUGAUCAAAAAUAUUUUCUGAGAUGAGAUGGAAUAUAUAUAUUUUGGUGUUUUACCUAGUUCAGGCAUGCCAACUAUUGAGAUGACAUCUAGGUUUGUCGA
rnacentral:pre_miRNA from 1 species